ACCGGCCACCGCACCGCUCUCCCGCGUCUCCUCUCCCCUGUUUAGUUCCCCUGCUCUCUCCCCCAAGCCUCCAUCCACGGAAAUGUAGACUCUUUAUCCCUCGAUUCCGGUGGCCCAGCGUACUCCGGGGGCUCAGCAGCAGCAGAUCGAGGUCGAAAUAGCGGCGCUGGUAGUGAGGAGGCUCGGCGACCGGUCAGCCCUCUUCCUUCCCACGGUAGCGGCGCCUCCUUCCUCUUGGUCCCCACGCCCGCCAGUGCCAGCGACUUGGAGGUCAAAGCUCGCACUUUUAUGGGCCGGAGCAGCACAACCAUGACCAGCUUCAGGCUUAGCACCGUAUCAUAUCAAAUCUCACCUGCCCAGGGAGCAGGGAGCAGAAGGGAGCCGGCCUUCUUCCGGCCGCUGUGGUCGAAGCUAUCGACAAAUCUCACCAUAUUCCAUUCUUUCUCUCACGGCGGCGCGCGGUGAUGCCCUCCAAGACGAAGCUCUGCUCCCACGACGUCACCACCUGCAUGUCCUACACGUUCACCGGCAGCAGCAUGGGGGGCCUUACUGUCGCGUCGUCACCACCUCCCGAGUGAGACGCGUAUCCACCUCCCCCUCGGAUUGAUCGUGGGGUGCAGCAGGAAGAGGAAGGGGAGGUGGUUGCCACAAGCCCACAACAGGCACGGAAGGCAAUACAGAUUCCACCUCCAGCAUUAUCCAGCAGCUGCAUAUCUCCAGUUUUGCCUGGCAUUCUCCCUGUCGAACUCACCAAGGAAUAUAUAUCAUUCUGUGGCAUUUCAUGUUGAGGAUGCCCGAGAGGCUCCAGAACUAGCUUCAGUUGGUAUUCUAUGAGGAUUGAAGAAAAUACAAGAACCAGGUAGUGUAUUUACACUUUACGAACAUGUCAAAGGUGUUGUUAAAGGCUUAAUUUAAUAAGAAGUUAUGUCAGCCUGGGUAAUUCAUUGUCCAUAAGCCUAUCAAUGCAGCAGGUUACAUGAUCAAUUCACAAGAUUAAAUUAUAGUUUACCUCACGGUAUAACAUUGUCUUCCUGCAUAAUAACAGAGCUUCUGAUUUAUAUGAUAUUUUAUUGUGUACAUGAUCUUUAUGCUGUUUUGAGGAGAAAGAUGGAUGACCGAGAUGAUUUUUAGCGACCAGGUUUGCCUUCCAGGGCAUCCGUGGUCACGAUGAUGGAGGCGGCUAGCAGGUUUCCUCAGUCUGGUCGAAUAGUGCUUUCCUUGACGAUUGUUAGUUGUUGUUUUUUUCGAGGGAACACUUUCUAUUACUCCCUUCGAUCCAGAAUAAGUGUCAUAACUUUAGUUCAAAUUUAGAUUAGUUGAACUAAAGUUCCAUCACUUAUUAUGGAUCGGAGGGAGUACAUUGUUUAGUCAUUAAUAAGUAGCGCUCUCCGCACUUUUCAUGAAUGAUUUUUAAAUGGGAAUCUAAUGAUAUAUUUGAUGUAAAAUGGUUGGUGAGAUUUUUUAUCCGAAAGAUGUUGUAGAAAAAUAUGUAGUGGGUACGCAUGUUUCUCCUUUCUUGAAAUUUAGCAAAAAAUCUCAAUUAAAUAAUAUUUUUUGGUUGAGAUUUGCAUUUAGUAAUCGCAAUACUCAUUAUGUAGAUUCAUGAUGAGGUUUGUGAGUCACAUAAUUAACCAUUAGACAUUAUUGUUAGUGUUAAUGGAUGCAGAUUGAUCGUACGUUGCAACUGCUCUUCGGUGAGGAUCCUAAAAUCUCGUGGCUAUGCCUACAAGGGUGUGGUGUUAAUGGAUGCAGAUUGAUCGUACGUUGCAACGGCGAGGAUCCUAAAAUCUCGUGGCUAUGCCUACAAGGGUGUGGGGUGUUAAAGGUCGUAGUUCGAUGGUUGGGCGCCGGUGAAAUUGUGUCUCCAUGUUGACGUUUGGGAGUAUGUUACCACACUUUCUGUUUCACCUUCAUCAUGAGCGUUUCACUAGAAGGAAAGCUGCAGGUAGAAAGUUAGCCUACAUGUUUUAGGUGUUCGUUGUAUAGUGAACUUCCACUUGCCUAAAACUGUGUCGGCGAGUGUGUCAUUUCGUGCAGGACAUUUCUCCUUGGUUUUUGGGGACAUAGGGAGGUUGUGCUGGCUUCCCAGAAUAUUUCAUGUCCCGUGCAAUUAAGUCACCAGAGAUCAUUUAGUGAAGUGGUGCGAA